AUAUUUAAUCCAGGAAGUAAAACAAGACAACACAUCAACACACACGCAUUGUCAUCGAUCUAUUGCAGUGCGCUUACCUGUCCCAUCACCACGAGUGCUGUGUGUUUAGCGCUCACCUGUGGUCAUUAGGACAGCCACGCGCGCAAGGUCACGUGACGCACCGAUUACUGAGGGCGGCCGCGGGCACAGGAGGCGAGUGAUGUUGCUUGCCUUUAUUCCAUUUUGUGACGCGUAAAGUGACUGUGCGUGAGCGUGACGGCGUGCAGAGGUGCGUGAAGGUGUGUUGCAUCACUUGUAGCAGCUUCAUGUUACUAAGUCUUUCAGCGUGUCAUGCCCGCUCAGUUCACUUCACCAGUAGCAGCGGCGGUGAGAGGUCAAGGUGUAGGUCUCGUGGCUUGACGCAGCUCUUGAAGGAAUUAAAUGGCUCCUCCUUGGCCAAUCAGCACCGAGGCAAAGUUGAUUGAUAUACAGGUGUGAAUUCAGCUGCCUCCUCGCUGUUCCCGUUGCCAGGAUACCAUGUGAUCGAGGCAGUGUUGGGGAAGGUGAAAUUAUUCAUCAGGUGUGACGUGUGCUGCUUCACUCCAUCCCAUGAACAGUUGCCCACAGGAAUCUCUACCACAUCAGGCCUGACAUACUCAUUGCAAUCAGGGAGUAGAGUUUCAUCAGGAAGAGAGGCUGUGUCACUACCUGUAAGCCUGACGAGGUGUUAGUUAAGUCAAGGAGCGUCAUCAGGAAGAGGGGCCGAGUCUUGCUACCUGUAAGCCUGACAAGAGGAGUCAAGGAAUUUUUCAUUGCAAUCAAGGAAGAGUCAAGUUGUAAGAAGAUUGUAAGGCAAGAAUUUUAAGCAGGAAUGAUUGUCAAGCAGUCAACAGCAGGAAGAAUGCAGCGAGAAAAGGGUACAAGAGUUUUCAAGUAAGAAGAUUGUAAGGCAAGAAUUUUGAGCAGGAAGGAUAUUGUUAAGCAGUUUAGCAGCAGGAAGAGUCCCUUCAAGCUGUUGGUGGGAGUGACAAGCAUCCUUCAGGACUUGCAAAGGCUGAAGUCCUCAACACUAGUCUCACUCAAGUUGACACAUGAGCUCUCUGACACAAGGAAAACAAAUCAUUUAUCCUAUUGUGUAUUUAUUAAACUUUUGUGAUUAAACAAUAAUGAUUAAACAAAA